ACCGCCAUAUCACGUUGGAACACCGAUCACCCAAGUUAAGCAACGUCGUUUCUGGUCAGUACCAAGAUGGGUGACCGCCUGGGAAUAUCAGGUGUCGUAAG